rnacentral:lncRNA from 1 species
GCUGAAUUUUGACGUAAUUUCUCUUGAUGUUGCUAGCAGGUGGCAGAGGUGUGUUUGAAAGUCAGCAGUAUUUUGACAGCGAUUAGAAUGUCCUCCGUCUGCUAGUCUUCUUGAUUCUUAAAUUCUGUGGAGCUCAAAUAGACAACAAAGCUUGUGGAACUGAUUAAGCGUUAGCAUAAAUAUCUAGCCUUUAUCAUGUUGAGACUCCUUAAUAAAUAUUACUCCCUAUUUUUAUAUUUUUGUUUUUAUAAAGCAGAAAAAUAUUUAUUUUAUUUUUAUGCCACCACAGUGAAUGUACCUAUGGGUUUUAUGCCAUGAGCAUACUCACAUGGGGCUUAAUAUUUUUUUAACAUUUUUAUUUUCUUUUCGAGAUAGCAUGAACCUGAUUAACUAAGCAAACUAUAAUUGAAUAAUUGAAAGGAAAAGGAUAACUACCAAGUUUACCUCUUGGCAAGGCGUUCGGUAUUUUUAAGUCCUCCGAACGGGACUCUCCGUUUUCUUAGUCGUCCUGGGAUUUGCUGGGUGGCGUAGUCGGUGGUUCCGGCGGCGACUCCUCUUCGUGUAUAACUAUCUUCUCUUUCCACACCUGACUCGGUGCUACGGUCUCCUCACGACAGUUCUGUUCAAGUUGUAUGUCUUCAGUCCUUAUCACUUCUCCUUCGUAGUCUACCCAUCCGUCCGAUUUGCCUCCUCUGGUUGCGGUUUGUCUUCUUCUUGUCCUGACCUGCUUAGAAUCUUCAACUAUAUAAUCAUUAAAGUAGUGGCGUACCUUUCGCAGAGGGGAAGUGCAUGUGGACUUCUACGGUUCCAAUAUAGAUAAUGGCUUUGAUAGUGCUGAGGAACGGUCUUCCAAGGAUGGUGGAUGGAUCAUACUCAUCUUCUCCUAUGUCAAUGACCUGAAAAUUGUUUGAAGCUGAAUGUAUCUUGGUUGUAGGGGCAUGGUUCCAUGCAGGAGCUGAUAAGUGACUGCGGCCAUUAUGUUGUCGUCAGAUCCGGUGUCGUAGAGUGUCUUCUAAAAAGAGUAUCCAUUGUUUGUGCAUUCGAUUCUUGGAACACCAGGGUCAUCCUUCUUGAUCAAGAAAGGUGACUUGAGUCGACGAUCUUGACCUCCUUGAGCUGCAGUGACCAUCUUAGCUGACUUAGUCCACAUUUGCUUGUUCCUGUUCCUCCUGUUGGUCCUCUUCCUUGGUUCAUGUCAGGAUUGCUCUGAAGUUUGUGUAGUCUUGUUCUUGAAGGACAGUCUCCUUCUUCCCUAUGAUGUAGAGACUGAUCUUGGCAGCAUUAGCGUAGAUGACAUCUCUGGUGUUUAGGAAUGGCCUCCCUAAGAUGAUGGGUGCCCUCUCCUCAUUACCAGUCUCUAUCACCAUGAAGUUUGCUGGAGUGUACAAGGUACCAACUCGGACACAGAGGUUCUUCAAUAUUUCCUUUGGGAAACUAAGUGUCUGAUCUCCAUUGUGUUUGUGCUUGUAGAUCUCGGUUCUUCACUUGAUGGAAUCUGGGAGUUGUAGAACGCCUUCACGUUUCUCAAAAUGUGUCCUGCUCACACAGACAAGGCAGAGAUCAAGUGCAUGGGCCCUGUUGGUGGAAAACACCAACAGAACCAAAAGUGUAUUUGUUCUUCUCUAACCUUAAGCAUAGUGAGCAAGACAAAGUUGAUGGAUCAUGAGUGUAGCAUUUAAAACAUUUGUUAGAUCAGAUGGCUCAACCUAAUGGAAAGAUAAUCUAUCUAUAUUUAUGUUUUGUUUAUAUCUUCCAAAGAUUGAAUGUGCAAUACUUUAACUUAUAUGAUUAGGAGUGUGGGAUCACGAAGGUAGUACUAAGAACAAAGAUUAAAGGACCAAACAUGUUGAAUUAAUUGGGUUGAUUAAUUUGGAGCUACAAAUCAUACAUGUUUGUCUCUUUAUUUUAUGUGAACGCUAGAACCAAGGAGAAGCUUAUAAAAGUGAUAGUCAAGUACCUUAAAAUGUUACCUUACUUGAAGAGUGACGGUACAGUAUCACCUUGUGGAAGCUUUCCUUUCUUAGCGGUUGUGCAUCGUGUUUGUGGCACCCUCCAUGAAUCAUCUCUUACGAGCUACGUCUUUCUUGUGCAAAUUGUUUAAACUUCAUGUGUCACUAUCUCCAAUGUGAGUUUAUUUCAGGACUUCCCAGGUUGAUAUUGAAAGUUUUCCUGUAGGGGUUAGUCCAACAAAAUAUCCCAUAUCUACUAUAGCAUACUAUCGGCUCAAAAAUCAACCUAGACACCAUGUCUAAUUUGAUUUAGGAGGGCAUUUUAACCUAAGCACCAUGCUUAAUUUAAAAAUCCUUUGGAAGUAAGAUCAUCAUUCCUAAACUAAGCACCAUGCUUGAUUUAAGAGAUAAAUGAAACUACUCCAAACCUAGACAUAUACUAAAGCAAAUAAAGGUAGCAUGAGAGCAUUUAUAGCGAUCUACUCAAAUGGAGGUGAAGUAGUGUAAUUAGUACUUAACAAAUUGAGCAUCUCUCAAAGGUAAGGACAACCAACAUAGCAACAUGGCAAAGGAUGUUUUUAUGUGAAGUACUCCCCCAAGCUUGAAUUUUGCAAAAUUCAAGUUUGGAUGAAUUUAAUUCAAUGUUGUGUGAUGGUUGGUUGGACAUACCUUGUGCUUGUCAUUCAUCCGAUCUUCUUGCUCCAAUCCUAGAAAGGUUAGUGACAAGAAUACCCGAAGGAAUAUAUCUACAAUUAUCUUUAUAUGCUCAAUACACAAGGCAAUGUUGCAAAUAAUUAGAAGUGCUCGUUUUAGGACACUAAGCUUGUCCUUGGGAAACCAUCAAUUAACUCAACGAGAUCUGCAAUAUUUAUUAUAGACAUAUGCAUCGACAACCGCUCUUUUAAAGUUUUUAUAAAUAGAAAAGAAGAGAGGGUUGGAGAUCUCAAAUGUGAUAAGGAUGGAGAGACUAAUUGAUUGGAGAGAUGUUUUAUAUGAGCAAGGACUGGGUAAGGUAUUUAUGAAAUAACUUCCAUGCUCACUGUUGUUUCUCUCAUUCUCAAACUCCAAGGAUGAUUCUUCAUGAAUGCUUAAAAUUCCUCUAGGAUUGUCUCUCAAAUUUGUUUUAUCUAUCCAUUCAAUGGUGAUAGCACAUGGAUUUUUAAUGCCCUUUAGCCAUUGAUGUUGCUCUUCUCGAUCCUCCUUCUUAUGCAUGGGAUGUCUAGAGAGAUUCAUAGGAUUAUCGGGAGGUUUAAGAGAAAGAGCAUAGUAGAAUUUAUUAAGCUCAAGGAUGGGUUGGAUAGCCGAAUUAUGGGAUUGAAAUGUUUGGAAAUCUCUAAGAUUUUUCUAUGAAGACUAGUACAAGAAGGAUGUCCACGAAUGAAGACAUACCUUCCUUUACUAAUAGAUAAAGAAAGAAGGACUCUACCAAAGGUUAUAUAAUUAAGACCAAUGUGAAAAUAUUCAGGAAAAACAUGGUCUUGUUGGGCUAGGUCUAAACCAUAAUUUAUAGAAAGAUUAACAGAUUCCUUAGGUGUAGCUAAAAGUGCAUUAUCUUCUUGAUUAAAAGAUAGGACCUCAGCUAUAGAAAAGGGUUGGUUUUGACCUAUUGCAAUCAACUCCGGACACAGAUCAUAAUUAGGGGCAGGACGUGUUGACUCCCAUGGUCUAUGGCUGGUCUCCGAAGGUGCAAAGAAUUUAAUAAUAAGUAUGGAAUUUGAGUUAUCCAUAAAGAUAAAAACAAAAAGAUAAAAGAAUAAAAGUAUAAAAGUAUAAUACAAGAUAAUAGCAAGAUUCAAAGUUAUCUCAGCAAACCGUCUUUCUCCCCGGCAACGGCGCCAGAAAUGCUUGUUGAUAUUUGGUAACGCAAUUAGAAAAUGAUCCGCAAGCGCACGGAUAUCGGUGAGCAUUUCACCCGGGAGGUUAUCCAGAGUUAUCGUAUUUAUAUUUUUACCACUGGGAGAAAGGGUGCAUCUGACUAACCAAAUCUAUUGCUACUAUCCCUUUAGACUACAAAGAAUGUCUCUCGAUGUGAGUGAUGUAUAGAGAAGACUGCAACCGUAGUCUCGUUCUAACCUUGGUAAGGAUGAUCUACUGUUCUAUUGGGGAGGCUCACGGAAUCUAGACAACACAAAGGAUGUUCGACCCGCACCUAUAAACCUACCCGUCCUGCUAACGAGAUGUGAUCUGCAAAGGUAACUCGGAAAUGUCACGUUCCUCGCUACUACCACGGUCCAGCUAGUCAGGGGAUAUCUAUGAGUACCCUAGCCUAAACACCACGUUUACGCUAACAAGUGAUUACUCUAAUACUCAACCGGAAGAGGAUUAAAGUAAACUCAUAAACCAAAUAACAAUAAAACAAGAACUUACUAGUAUUAGAAGUCGAAUUACUGAAGAAUCUUAGAAGCAAGCAUCGGGUUAGGAGACUUGAUCCCGCAGGUACAACUCGGAGUAGACACCGACAGGCCGGCCUUCCUUCGAUCCAUACCUCCACUCUAUCUCUCUCAAUCCAGUAGAAACUAGAAGAUCUAUUUCUACUUUACAUUGGUUGCUAAGCCUAAAAAGAAAUAUUAUUUAGAGAAGAGGUUUUCCUUCGAGGGCACCCCUCAAUCUCUAUGAUAAUUUCUUGUCUCCUCCAAGGGCCAGAGGGGGUCUCCUUAUAUAGUCCUCCCCUUCUAUGCGUUUUUGGGUCGAUAGGCGAGGUGGUACUAUGUUAUUCUGGAUCUAAUAUGUCGGUGGAACGUUGUGUGCGAAGAGAGUCCGGAACGGAGUCCAGAGGGGGGCGGGCGCCCAGGUCCUCAGGGCGGGCGCCCUGGGCCUGGCCCCUUUCGGGCUCCGCUUCCUUCCCGUGGCUUCUGGAGUCUUCUAGAUGGUAGAAAAUUGCGCGGUGGGUUGAUAUCUCUAUGUAAUCCCGACAUGUGGGCCUUUCUUCCUUAUUUCCUGAUAACCCCCUGCAGAAAUAGACAAACACCAAAACUCGUGGAAUUCUGUCAGAUAAAACCCUAAGUCUAGAUGUUGAUUUCAUUUGGAUCCUUUUCUUUGUUUAUUUUAUAAGUAAAUUUGAUACUUAAGGACCGUCAACACACGUCUAAUCUAUUAAUUACUACUCUAGCGUUAUAAAGACUAGAGCACUUGAUGCAAGCGGGAAUCCAAUAAAUAACUUGAAUGUAAAUAAAAGUAAUUAGAGAACUCAGGAAUUAUGAAUUGAAGAACCUAGAGAAUGAUGAAGAACGACCCAGUUGCUGCAAAAGUAGAAUGUUGAGGAAGAUCCGACUGACCCGGCUCCUCCUCCGCUCACCUCUUCUCUCUCGCUAUUUUCUAGAUUACAACUAGAACUAACUAGAACUAGAACUAGAGGAACUAGAACUAGAACUAGAUGAACUAGAACUAGAUCUAGAUGAACUAGAGGUAGAACUAGAAGAACUAGAGGGAUCCUCUCUACUUGGAUGAAGAAUUGAAACCCUAACUUUGAUUCUGUAGAAGAGGUAGGAUCUCCAGGGGCCAGGGGGUCUGGUUUUAUAGUCCCUUCAAGUGAAUAUGGGCCGUUGGAUCAAACCGACAUUAAUUGCACGGUUUUCCUUGAUCCUUUAGGACGGUGGAGUGUUGUCCCUGAAUUGGACUCUGUUUGGUGGAAAAAGGUGGGCGGGCGCCCUCAGGACUAGGGCGGGCGCCCUGUCCCUGAGGCCUCUCGGCUUCCGCUUUGUUCCCGUGGCUUCUGGAGUCUUCUAGAUGAUAGAAAAUUACGUGGCACAUUAAUAUCUCUAUGUAAACCCGACGUGUGGGCCUUUCUUUCAUAUUUUCUGAUAUCCCCCUGCAGAAAUAGACAAACACCAAAACUCGUGGAAUUCUGUCAGAUAAAACCCUAAGUCUAGGUGUUGGUUGCAUUUGGAACCUUUUCCAUGAUUAGUUGAUGGUUAAAUGUGAGCAUUAAGGACCGUCAACAAGCUCCCCCAAGCUUAACCUUUGCUCGUCCCUGAGCAAAGAGGAACUCAAGAGUUUCUGCAGUGGUUUCAUACCUUAAAGAUAUACAUGCGUUCAAACAAGAUCUCAUCUCUGGGUUAGGGUAAACUGUUAGAUUUAAAUUUACUCAUUUUACCUUCCACCAUGGGACUUGUAACUGUCACUUCUAUCUUGAGUAGUUAAAAGAUAGAACGGUCUAGUCAAGCGUCAUGUCUCUUUUUCUUCGAUUAACUAUAGCUCUGGAGUUUUUGCAGAUUUUCAAAUAAAACUUAGAGAUUCCUUGUAUGACUCUCUCUAGUCUCUCUUUUGUGGUAUUUCUGGAUCCUUACCAAGACAGUAAUGGUGUAUGCCUUCUCUCAAAGUAUGUGGUAUUUUUGGUAUGAGGCAUAGUGACAUUGCCUUCUCUCUCACCCUACUCUAAUAAGGCUUUUGAUAUCUGGAGCUCAUAGGUGGGAGACAGCUAAUACAUACUUACAAGACAUUUAUUGCAUAGUCAAACCAUGGAUCCACAAGAACAAGUCAAUAAGUCAAAUCAAGAUGUGCAUGUGUGGUGAAUGAAUGGUGUAUGGUGAUGAUGGUGAUAAUGGUAAAAAUCUAAUUCUACUUUUGCUCUUUUGAGGGGGUACAUACCUUUCUUUCUCUUUUGAAAUUUUUGGAGAGAAUGAGAUGCUCUGUAUUUUUUUGAGGGGGUACAUACCUUUCUUGGUCUUUUUUCUUUUCUUUCGAGGUUCCGGGCACUUGCCCCUUUUUAUUUCCUCGUAUUUUUUUCUCUUUUUUUUAUUAGAGCACUCAUCUCCUAAAAUAAUAUAGCAAGUGGUAGUAACCAAGAUAACUUGAGCAUUUAUUUCACAUGGAAAAACAAAAAUGUUUUUGGCUAUUCUCUCCCGGAUUAGGAGUAGAAUAUUUUUAGGUGAUUCUAGAGAUGGAAAUUGGUGGAUAUAUGUGGAUGCGUACUUCAAGAGUAGAAGCAGCAUGUAUGAGUGAACGUGCAAGUGAAUCUUGAUUUUAACCACAUGACAAGCUCCUAAGGGUCUACACAGCUUGACCACACUCAAUGCUCAUAAGCAGUAAAAAGUAAAUGUGUGGCUCAAAGUUUAGCAAGCAUGUAUAUAUGGCUGUGGUAGGAAUUUAAACUCUCAUCAUACAGGAACUCAUCAUGCAACAUUUUAAAGAUUUUCAAAGAUAAAAUUCUCUAGAAUUCUAGCAUUUUUAGGAACAGAUAAACAGCAGCUCAACCUUCCCAUAUCGUAUCCGUUAACAACUUAGACUUUAGAUCAAGUACUCUCCCCACAUGUUUAGGUUUAGAGCAAAUCUUAAUUAAUACCAGUCAUGCCUAAACUUAAGAGAGAUUUCAAUUUAAGAACUAGCCAUGGCAGAGCAAUUAUUCAUCAUUUCCAUGUGAGAGCUUAUCAUGAUGGUUCAUAGCAAACUUUAUUUAUUUAUUUAUUUAGCAAACUAAGCAAAGAUAUAUAUAUAAGCACAAAAUCUUUAUUUGGUUUUUUAUGAUUAUGCAUCUUUUUAUUAUUUGAGUAAAGUAUAAAUGUGAGUAGAACACUUAGCUGGAUAAAUGGAGUUGCUCUCCCCCAAGUUGGGUUUUGACGUAAUUUCUUCUGAUGUCGCUAGCAGGUGGCGGAGGUGUAUUUGAAUGUCGACAGCACCCUGACAGCGAUUAGGAUGUCCUCCGUCUGCUAGUCUUCUUUGAUCUUUGAAUUCUGUGGAGCUCAAAUAGACAACAAAGCUUUGUGGAACUAGUUAAGUGUUAGCUUAAAUAUCUAGCCUUUAUCAUGUUGAGCCUCCUCAAUAAAUGUUACUCUCUUUAGUAGGAUCAUAAAUUUAUUUUUAUAAUUUUAUUUUUAUAGGACAGGAAUAUAUUUAUUUCAUUUUUACGCCACCACAGUGAAUGUACUUAUGGGUUUUAUGCCAUGAGCAUACUCACAUGGGGCCUACUAUUUUAAACAUUUUUAUUUUCUUUUUAAGAUGAUAUAAACCUGAUUAACUAAGCAAACUAUUUUAAAUAAUUGAAAAGAAAAAGAUAACUACCAAGUUUACCUCUUGGCAAGGCGUUCG